UACGUAGGGUGCGAGCGUUGUCCGGAAUUAUUGGGCGUAAAGAGCUCGUAGGCGGUUUGUCGCGUCUGCUGUGAAAUCCCAGGGCUUAACCCUGGGCCUGCAGUGGGUACGGGCAAACUAGAGUGCGGUAGGGGAGAUCGGAAUUCCUGGUGUAGCGGUGAAAUGCGCAGAUAUCAGGAGGAACACCGAUGGCGAAGGCAGGUCUCUGGGCCGAUACUGACGCUGAGGAGCGAAAGCGUGGGGAGCGAACAGG
rnacentral:rRNA from 1 species